rnacentral:rRNA from 1 species
UACGGGGGGGGCAAGCGUUGUUCGGAAUUACUGGGCGUAAAGGGCUCGUAGGUGGCCAACUAAGUCAGACGUGAAAUCCCUCGGCUUAACCGGGGAACUGCGUCUGAUACUGGAUGGCUUGAGUUUGGGAGAGGGACGCGGAAUUCCAGGUGUAGCGGUGAAAUGCGUAGAUAUCAGGAGGAACACCUGUGGUGUAGACAGCUUACUGGACCAUAACUGACGCUGAGGCACGAAAGCGUGGGUAGCAAACAGG